UUCUUACCUUAGCUUGAACUUUGAAGAGUACACUUGAAUUUCUCAUCAUUUCCACCAUGGCCGAAUCAAUUAUUGUUGAUGAAGUCUCUGUUCCUAACGCUUUUAACACUAAACGAUUCUAAUAGACAUACUUUACGUAUUUGUCUCCAGGAAUUUUCGUAAGAGGGAAAGACAAUAUAUGUCCCAUUAUAAAAGAGAAUUUCGAUAGCUAGAAGCUUGGGCCUAAAUACAAAAGCGAGGUCAUAAGUUUUUAGUACUUGUUUGACCAUGUCAAGAGAAACAACGGUAACUAGAGAAACUUCACCUAAUUAAAGGUGCAUAAUUUGUCCAUAUUUUUGGCCAAGUCUUUAAGUGCAUGACGUGGAAGUUCACCAAACAAAUAAAACAUGCUUCCAAUUAAAGGUAAUCUUUGGUUUUGCUAUUGGAAUUCUUCCAUUUAAUUAACAAAAAGAGGGAAGACACAAAAAGGAAAAGGAAAAAGAAGUUGAAGAACUUCAUAUUUUAGAAGAUGAAAGUAAUGAAAAUGAA
rnacentral:lncRNA from 1 species